AUUGAACGCUGGCGGCAUGCCUUACACAUGCAAGUCGAACGGCAGCACGGGAGCAAUCCUGGUGGCGAGUGGCGAACGGGUGAGUAAUAUAUCGGAACGUGCCCAGUCGUGGGGGAUAACGUAGCGAAAGCUACGCUAAUACCGCAUACGAUCUAUGGAUGAAAGCGGGGGAUCGCAAGACCUCGCGCGAUUGGAGCGGCCGAUAUCAGAUUAGGUAGUUGGUGAGGUAAAGGCUCACCAAGCCGACGAUCUGUAGCUGGUCUGAGAGGACGACCAGCCACACUGGGACUGAGACACGGCCCAGACUCCUACGGGAGGCAGCAGUGGGGAAUUUUGGACAAUGGGCGCAAGCCUGAUCCAGCAAUGCCGCGUGCAGGAUGAAGGCCUUCGGUUGUAAC
rnacentral:rRNA from 1 species